GGGAAAAUGGAGGGCGUGGAAACGAAACAUCACGAUAGUAUCUUUUGACAUGACGCUUCAAGACUCCGAUGUCAGGAGGCUGGUGAUGUCACAGAUUUUAACCUGGCUUGAACAUGCCAAGUGUACUGGCAUCUCAGCUGUUCUUCUCCAUCAUUUGACGGAUGAGCAUGAGUGGCCUCCCCCGAUUCAAUAUUAUGAGUAAAGUCAUGGGCCAUUGAGCCAAGAGGAGAGGAAUUCACCAUGGCUUAACAAUAAAAAAACACUUUAGUACCCUUAAAGCCCUCAGAGUGAUUGUCCUUGACAACCACCUUCCAUCAAAGAUGCAUACUAUCUAGUAUACAGACUAAACCGUGCAUGGAACAAUAGAAGAGGAUGGCAAUAUUCCCCAGUAAACGCAGUGAAAGAAAAAAGACCUAUCCAUACAGAGUCGCUGAAGAAACUGAUCUUCAUGUGUCACUUGACCAACAAUUUUUCGGUAUGGGUAGAAAGGCUGUUAUGGAGAAGCACUAUCCUCGACAAAUCUCUAGCCACCUUGAACAGUUAUCUCCUUGACCAAGAAGGGAAUUGUACAGCGAGCAAGAAUCUAGGUUUAAUAAGAGACAUUUCUAGAGGUUUACUAUGUGCUCCAAUAUUCAUGAAACUUAAUGACAAUGGUCUCAUUGUUGUCUUGUUUGAAACUAGGUCACAUGUGGACUGAAUGGAAGUCACUUGAUUUUAUUUUUAAAACAUUAUAGAAUCAAACCUUGAUAUUGCUUUGUAAGAUUACAUGUGUUCAAACUUAGUGAGA